rnacentral:miRNA from 1 species
GCAGACACAUUCCAGCCAAUAAGCAGCAGACCCUCCCUCCCAGAUCCUCCCACCUCCUGGACAGCAUCCAUUUUACAUUCAUUGUGAAGCUGCAUUCUUAGUGAGCUGUCCAGGAGGUGGGAGGGUCUGGGAGGGAGGGUCUGCUGCUGAUUGGCUGGAAUGUGUCUG